AGACGUGAGAGGGAUCGGUCUGUGACAUCUGCCGCUCUGCAGACUCAGCUGAUGUGACUGACCUGGCGAGUGUCCCUUCCUUCAUUCUCCAUGCCAUGUGCUUUGUUCCUGAAGGUCCACCGCCUUCAAAAAAGAAAGCCUUCUUUGAUAGAGGACCACCAUCUCCUUGGUCAAGGGUAUACGAUUAUCUGGGUUCCCCUGCCAGAACCUCCAGACAAAUUCUCAGGAGUGCAAAGGAAAAAUGAGGAAAAUAUGGAAAGCUUUCAUUUUUUACCAAUUGCAUUGUCUUUUUUUUUUU
rfam:Cavia porcellus supercont2_32 genomic scaffold, whole genome shotgun sequence.